rnacentral:rRNA from 1 species
UACGGAGGGUGCGAGCGUUGUCCGGAAUCACUGGGCGUAAAGGGCGCGUAGGCGGCUCGUCAAGCGCGCGGUGAAAGCCCGGGGCUCAACCCCGGGUCGGCCGUGCGGACUGGCAGGCUUGAGCACUGUAGGGGCGGGUGGAAUUCCGGGUGUAGCGGUGGAAUGCGUAGAGAUCCGGAAGAACACCGGUGGCGAAGGCGGCCCGCUGGGCAGGAAGGGGGAGCAAUCCUCCGGCUGACACUGAGGCGCGACAGCGUGGGGAGCAAACAGG